rnacentral:rRNA from 1 species
CAGUCGCCGCGGUAAAACGUAGGGUGCAAGCGUUAAUCGGAAUUACUGGGCGUAAAGCGUGCGCAGGCGGUUUGUUAAGACAGAUGUGAAAUCCCCGGGCUCAACCUGGGAACUGCAUUUGUGACUGGCAAGCUAGAGUCUGGCAGAGGGGGGUGGAAUUCCGCGUGUAGCAGUGAAAUGCGUAGAUAUGCGGAGGAACACCGAUGGCGAAGGCAGCCCCCUGGGCCAACACUGACGCUCAUGCACGAAAGCGUGGGGAGCAAACAGGAUUAGAUACCCCUGUAGUCCCUGUCUCUUAUAA